GAUGAACGCUGGCGGCGUGCCUAAUACAUGCAAGUCGAGCGAUCAGACGAGGAGCUUGCUUUCCUGAUGUUAGCGGCGGACGGGUGAGUAACAUGUGGAUAAUCUAUCUAUAAGACUGGGAUCACUUCGGGAAACUGGAGCUAAUAGCGGAUAAUAUAUUGAACCGUAUGGUUCACUAGAGAAAGACGGUUUUGCUGUUACUAAUAGAUGGAUCCGUGUCGCAGUAGCUAGUUGGUAUGGCAACGGCUUACAAAGGCAACGAUGCGUAGCCGCACUGAGAGGGGGACCGGCCACACUGGAACUGGACCACGGUCCAGACUCCUACGGGAGGCGCAAGAGGGGAAUCUUCCGCAUGGGCCGAAGGCCUGACGGGGCAACGCCGCUUGGUGGAGAAAGUUCUUCGAACCGAAAGACCCUGUGAUAGGGGAAAAACAAAUUGGUAAGGAACAAUGCACGUCUUGACGGUACCUUAUCAGAAAGCCACGGCUAACUACGUG
rnacentral:rRNA from 1 species